rnacentral:rRNA from 1 species
ACCCGCACAAGCGGUGGAUGAUGUGGAUUAAUUCGAUGCAACGCGAAGAACCUUACCUACCCUUGACAUGUCCGGAACUUGCCAGAGAUGGCUUGGGUGCCCGAAAGGGAAUCGGAACACAGGUGCUGCAUGGCUGUCGUCAGCUCGUGUCGUGAGAUGUUGGGUUAAGUCCCGCAACGAGCGCAACCCUUAUCAUUAGUUGCUACGCAAGGGCACUCUAAUGAGACUGCCGGUGACAAACCGGAGGAAGUGGGGAUGACGUCAAGUCCUCAUGGCCCUUAUGGGUAGGGCUUCACACGUCAUACAAUGGUCGGCACAGAGGGUUGCCAAGCCGCGAGGUGGAGCCAAUCCCAGAAAGCCGAUCGUAGUCCGGAUUGUUCUCUGCAACUCGAGAGCAUGAAGUCGGAAUCGCUAGUAAUCGCGGAUCAGCAUGUCGCGGUGAAUACGUUCCCGGGUCUU